GACUAGUUUUAUUAUUAACAAAUUAAAAAGAAAAAGCUAUCAUUUUUCUCUUCUCCUCCACCAAAAAUGGCAGAAAAGAAAGGGGUUUUGAAGCUCUGAAAUAUCAGCCACUUACAUCCCUUGCUAAUGAUGAAAAUCGAGAUUUGGACCUAGAACGGAAAGAAAUCGAGUAAGGGAUAAUUACGUCUUUUUUUACCUUUGUGGUAUCGAGGGUUGCCAGGUUAGCUUGGGUUGGAGUUCGUCGGAGAUAUUAUCACACUGUCAAGCUAACAUUAUUGGUGUAGUGAUUUCAAGUACUUUGAGCCUAUGGCAUGUAUAGGAGUUUAAAUAUUAGAGUAUGUGAUAUGGCUUUAGCCAUAUGUGUUGGCCUAUUUUGAUUAUGGGGUUGUAAAUCCAUUUUAAUUAUGCAUGCAUGUGCUAUGGUAUUAUGUGAUGAGUUUAUAAUGAUUAUAGCAUGAAUGUGGUAAAGAUGUGAGUAAAA